rnacentral:tRNA from 1 species
GGUGAGAUGGCAGAGCAGCUGACUCUUAAUCAGCGGGUCCACAGUUCAAUCCCGUGCCUCACCC